rnacentral:rRNA from 1 species
GAUGAACGCUGGCGGCGUGCCUAAUACAUGCAAGUCGAGCGAACAGACGAGGAGCUUGCUCCUCUGACGUUAGCGGCGGACGGGUGAGUAACACGUGGAUAACCUACCUAUAAGACUGGGAUAACUUCGGGAAACCGGAGCUAAUACCGGAUAAUAUAUUGAACCGCAUGGUUCAAUAGUGAAAGACGGUUUUGCUGUCACUUAUAGAUGGAUCCGCGCCGCAUUAGCUAGUUGGUAAGGUAACGGCUUACCAAGGCAACGAUGCGUAGCCGACCUGAGAGGGUGAUCGGCCACACUGGAACUGAGACACGGUCCAGACGCCUACGGAAGGCAGCAGUAGGGAAUCUUCCGCAAUGGGCGAAAGCCUGACGGAGCAACGCCGCGUGAGUGAUGAAGGUCUUCGGAUCGUAAAACUCUGUUAUUAGGGAAGAACAAAUGUGUAGUAACUAUGCACGUCUUGACGGUACCUAAUCAGAAAGCCACGGCUAACUACGUG